rnacentral:misc_RNA from 1 species
UUUCCGUAGGUGAACCUGCGGAAGGAUCAUUAUUGUAUAACCGAGGUGCGAGGGCUGUCGCUGACCCGAAAGGUCGUGCACGCCCGAGUGCCCUCACUCACAUCCAUCUCACCCCUAUGUGCACCACCGCGUGGGUCCCCCUUUGGCUUGUUCGGAGGGGGGCUUACGUUUUCACACAAACUUUGUAUGCAGUGUAGAAUGUAUUUUUUGUUUUUGCGAUCACGCAAUCAAUAUAACUUUCAACAACGGAUCUCUUGGCUCUC